rnacentral:lncRNA from 1 species
AACAUGAUGAUGAUAGGUAAUGUUUUACUUAUUGCCUUAAAAAUAUAUUUUUUAUUGCUCCCCCGCUUUUUGGCUUUUCUUCAUUGUCUUGAACUGUUUGCAACCAUUUUUUAUAAUUUCACAGACCCCCUGAUAAUGGCUACGCGAACCUCCAUGGCUCCACAGACCAUAGUUUAAGAACCUAUGUUCUAUAUGAUUGCAACUCUGGGACUGAGUUCCCUGAAUGUCUCAGAUCAGCAAUCAUAUAGAUAUCAACCAUGUUUGUCCCAUAUCCAGAGACAAAUUUAGGAAUCAUUAAAAGUACAGAAAAGAAUAUAGAAAUAGUUUUCAAGAGACUUCGUACUGUUUAAUAUCCUAAGAAAUGACAAGGAAGAAUACACGUGACCAACAGAUACAUGUCUGUUGGUCAUGUAUGCUGAUAUGUAGUGCCUAUGAAGCUAUGAUGAUAAAGAUAACAGUGAGAAGAAUAUAUAGGAAUGACAGAAAUCUUAGUGAUAGAUUACAAGAACAUAAACUUGAUUUAGAAAUAGGCAGAUUAUCUACUGUUCUUAUUAGAAGAUUCUAAGAACACAAUUUGUAGUAGAAUGGAAUGGGGUCACAAGUGAUAAAGUUCCACAAUGUAAAAGAAAAAAAAAUAAUCUAUUGAAAUUAUAUAAAGAUUAACCCAUAAAAAUGUGAUUAAUGAACAGGCAAGCAAACUCCUAUCUAAUGUUCGGAUUUAUGCAUCCAUAACUCACAUUGAUCCUAAACCACAUCUGUUCACUUAUAUCAAACUAAUGUUAAUUUUCUCUGAUAUGCAUACUUAGUUGUUUAUUUUUAUAAAUAUCUGUUGUGUUUUUAAAAAAAAACUUUUUCUUCAAAUAUGGCCUGGUGAUAUACUUUAUUUCUGGUAUGUGACUAUUUGAAUUUUAAAAUGAAAUAUUCUGUAUUCUUUUGGUUAUUAUUUAUGUUCUGUUGUGGGCUGAAGAUGGUUG